UACAGAGACUGCAAGCGUUAUUCGGAUUCACUGGGCGUAAAGGGUGCGCAGGCGGUCGGGUGUGUCAGAUGUGAAAUCCCUCGGCUUAACCGGGGAACUGCGUCUGAUACUGGAUGGCUUGAGUUCGGGAGAGGGAUGCGGAAUUCCAGGUGUAGCGGUGAAAUGCGUAGAUAUCUGGAGGAACACCGGUGGCGAAGGCGGCAUCCUGGACCGAUACUGACGCUGAGGAGCGAAAGCCAGGGGAGCAAACGGG
rnacentral:rRNA from 1 species